GGCGGAAUAAGCCGAGUUUCGGCCUAUCGGCAACCGUUUCGAAAACGGUCGGCCCUUCAGUGGGCGUGCAGGUUCGAGACCUGCUUCCGCCG
rnacentral:tRNA from 1 species